GCUUAAACCCUGCAGUGAGUCCAGAAAGCAGUCAGGACACGGCUGAUCCUGAAGAUGGUGUUUCCUACGCCUCCAUCAGCUACACCAGGAAGACCAACAGUAAAUGCCGGGUUCUGGGUAAAGAUGGUGAUGAUGAAGAUGAUGCAGUGACCUACAGCAGCGUGAAAGCUUCCUCUUCUUCUGCUGGAGCCUCAGCUGAUCCCAGCGACCUCUACGCCACCGUCAACUAACCAAACAAUAAGAGACCACAGUGUAGUUACAGCUCAUAUCAUUACAGAUGGUGGAUCUUUGUCAGGCUGCUGUGACCUCUGACCUCUGACCUCUUUACUGUUGGCUGCAUCUCAUACUGCUGAUCAAUAAUUUGGGGUCUCCGUCAGUCACUGUGGGUGAGAGAUGUUACGACCCCUCCCCCUUCCUGCUUCCUUCUCCUGCAGGAGGCUGCAGGCAGGGAGGCUGAUUGGGCAAUCACCUGUGCAGCUCUCUUCAGAGCUUAUUUAGCCAGGACUGAUCAGUGUUUUGUCUUUUGUUCGACUUACAGGCACAACAACAACCAACGAUACUGCAACAAAACUACAAGCUCGUGCAGAUUGUUCUGCUCUGGACUACAUAAUGUUGGUUAUGCGUGUGGCUGAACUCCUCCUAAUUACUGUGAUUACUGUUCUUCUCAUCAGAGCUCGAGAGACUACCUGACAACAACACAGUGACCUACAGCAGCGUGAAAGCUUCCUCUUCUUCUGCUGGAGCCUCAGCUGAUCCCAGCGACCUCUACGCCACCGUCAACUAACCAAACAGAUAAGAGACCACAGUGUAGUUACAGCUCAUAUCAUUACAGG